rnacentral:lncRNA from 1 species
GGAUCAGGGAGUGCGAGAGAAAGACAGAGAGAGGGAGAGAGAGAGAGAGAGAGAAAGAGAAAGAGAGUGAGAGAUAAAUCCUGUUGGUAUAGAGUGGAAGAGAGGAAGAUAGGUGAAACGUAAAGGAUUAAGUCCAUAAAGCUGUACGUGUUGAGGGAGAUGCUAUAGAAUGAAAGAGAGAUGAGAUGAAAAAGUGGCAGAUACAACACACUGUAGAAAGUAAAAAGAAUAAAAAAAGAAAGGUAAAGCCUUACAUAAUAGUGAAAGGGUUCUAUGUAACAUGGAAUGAGAGAAAAGCAGAACGAGGAAGGAUAAAUAAAUGCAGGAGUUAGCUUCAUUGGAAAAGAAUUACGGAGUGAGGAAAGUGAAAGACAAAGCAAAUUAGAUUAAAUAAUAAAUACUUAUGAAGAUAGAGCAAUAAUGAAAUAGACAGAUUUAAAAAGAGAUAUAGAUAGUGGAUGAGAAAAAGAGUGUGAGAGAGAGAGACGAAUAAAAAGUAUGAAAAAUAGAGAGAGAAAGAAAGAGUGAGAGGAAAAGAGAGCGAGAGAGAGAGAGAAGAGCCGGACAGACAGACAGAGAAUGUUGUGAGGAACGGGAGAGCGAGAGGGUGAGAUAUUAAGAACAGUGAACAGUCGUCAUUCACAAAUUUUCAAUGGACGGACAUACAACGUCUGAUUAUAACUCAACCGUCGAACCGUUUGAUUUAGAAAUUGGAGGACUAUGUACCAUUUUUGAGGAAAAUCCACACUAUUGUGUAAGUGUCAUU